rnacentral:rRNA from 1 species
AACGCGAAGAACCUUACCUGGGUUUGACAUCCUUUGACUGCCUAUGAAAGUAGGUUUCCUCGCAAGAGGCAAAGAGACAGGUGCUGCAUGGCUGUCGUCAGCUCGUGUCGUGAGAUGUUGGGUUAAGUCCCGCAACGAGCGCAACCCUUAUCUUUAGUUGCCAUCGGGUUAAGCUGGGCACUCUAAAGAGACUGCCGGUGACAAACCGGAGGAAGGUGGGGAUGACGUCAAGUCCUCAUGGCCUUUAUAUCCAGGGCUACACACGUGCUACAAUGGUCGGUACAAAGGGCUGCGAACCCGCGAGGGGGAGCUAAUCCCAAAAAGCCGGCCUCAGUUCGGAUUGGAGUCUGCAACUCGACUCCAUGAAGCUGGAAUUGCUAGUAAUCGCGGAUCAGAACGCCGCGGUGAAUACGUUCCCGGGCCUUGUA